CAUUAUUCUCUCCUCCACCUUAUGGACUCCUGUAGUAGCUGUAUACUAGUAGAAGAUGCCAAUUAAAAAAAAAAAACAAAAAACUCAUAGAAAACUACCGAAGAAAACAUCGUAACACAUUUUGAUAGUACUAUAAGAAAACAUGUGAGAAACUAAAUCGCUGCUCGCUUUUCUUUUGAGAGACACAAUAGAAGUUCAAGGUCGAACAGACAACGAGAUCAAGAUAACCUGCAAGAAACAGCUCACUUGACAAGGUUGGCAUGGAAACCACUCACCAAAUGAAGAACCAAUAAUAUUAAUUUUUAUAGAUUCAUAAAAAAGGUAAGGUGCAAAAGAUAACAACUAUAACUAUUUACAGUUACAAUCCGAUAUAGCAAAGGUAAAAGUUACAAAAACUGUCAUGAUAAGUUUACAAACUCUAGAAUUGAUCACUCGAGAUAAAUUUUCAUCUCUAGUCUCUUGAUCAUCAUUUCACUCUAAUUAAAGAGAUUACAAAAUACAUGAUAAAUUAAUUAAAGAGAUUACAAAAAGCUGCCGAUGGUGCUGAGUGAGUAGAUACAUUAACACUUACUGCUACUUUAAAUUCAUUUAAUCAAUUAGCGGCAUUUAGUUGAGUUUGGAAUUUAAAUGGUUUGAUUAUACUCACUGGUUACAGAAAUAAUGGUUGUGUAAGUAGGCCUUCAAGUUCAUCGCAAGCUUUAUUGCUCAGAACUUUCUGGAAAUGAAAUUGAAGAGAUGAGGGACAUUGUUUUCCAUUCGAAACUUGUCAGCUGUUGUUACUUCAGUGAAAUUGAGACUUUGGAGAGAGUAAGGAGCUAAGCUGCAGAUGUGGAGAUUGCUGACGAAUUACGUUUGACUACAUAAAUGCAUUACAUGAGUCCAAAAUUUAUUUGACAGGAGUGAAUAUAUGGAGUGGCCGUGUGCCUUAGAGGGGAUCCAUAAUCAAGAAAACAAAAAAAACUUGUAAGCGUUUUUAGAUUCUAUCAAUAUUAUCAUACCUAGGAUUUCUGGAUCUCUUCAGAACAGGUAAAAAUUGUUUGGAACCUUUAUAUGGAAUUAAAUAUUGUAUUUGUAAUCAUGAAUUGGCACAACUCUAGUUUAAAAGACAUUCAUGCAUAGGUAAUCGCUCAAUGUGCCAAAUAGUCAAUGUUGACACACAUUCCUGAAAAAAGAGGAGGGCGAACCUAGUGAUCUGUGUAUUUGUCACGUAAAGCAACCAGUUCUUGUUUGUACCUCAAUUUCGUAACCUGUUCGACCUCGAGUAGUUUGCAAUUGGAACUUGUUUGUCAUUAUCAUGGAUUGGUAUUUUCCUAUUUUUUGAACAUUAUUAAAAAUAUCAUCCUAAUUAAUUCCUUCUAAAAUACAUGAUAAAUACACAAAUGCAAGAAUAUCCUUAAUUUGG
rnacentral:lncRNA from 1 species